rnacentral:rRNA from 1 species
AACGAACGCUGGCGGCAGGCCUAACACAUGCAAGUCGAGCGAGGACUUCGGUCCUAGCGGCGGACGGGUGAGUAACGCGUGGGAACGUGCCCUUUGCUUCGGAAUAGCCCUGGGAAACUGGGAGUAAUACCGGAUGAGCCCUUUGGGGGAAAGAUUUAUCGGCGAAGGAUCGGCCCGCGUUGGAUUAGGUAGUUGGUGGGGUAAUGGCCUACCAAGCCGCCGAUCCAUAGCUGGUUUGAGAGGAUGAUCAGCCACACUGGGACUGAGACACGGCCCAGACUCCUACGGGAGGCAGCAGUGGGGAAUCUUAGACAAUGGGGGAAACCCUGAUCUAGCCAUGCCGCGUGAGCGAUGAAGGCCUUAGGGUUGUAAAGCUCUUUCAGCUGGGAAGAUAAUGACGGUACCAGCAGAAGAAGCCCCGGCUAACUCCGUG